ACGGCUCAGUAACACGUAGUCAACAUGCCCAGGGGACGUGGAUAACCUCGGGAAACUGAGGAUAAACCGCGAUAGGUCAUUUCUUCUGGAAUGGGUAAUGACCCAAAUCUACAUGGCCCCUGGAUUGGACUGCGGCCGAUCAGGCUGUUGGUGAGGUAAUGGCCCACCAAACCUGUAACCGGUACGGGCUCUGAGAGGAGGAGCCCGGAGAUGGGCACUAAGACAAGGGCCCAGGCCCUAUGGGGCGCAGCAGGCGCGAAACCUCUGCAAUAGGCGAAAGCUUGACAGGGUUACUCUGAGUGAUUUCCGUUAAGGAGAUCUUUUGGCACCUCUAAAAAUGGUGCAGAAUAAGGGGUGGGCAAGUCUGGUGUCAGCCGCCGCGGUAAUACCAGCACCCCGAGUGGUCGGGACGUUUAUUGGGCCUAAAGCAUCCGUAGCCGGUUCUACAAGUCUUCCGUUAAAUCCACCUGCUUAACAGAUGGGCUGCGGAAGAUACUAUAGAGCUAGGAGGCGGGAGAGGCAAGCGGUACUCGAUGGGUAGGGGUAAAAUCCGUUGAUCCAUUGAAGACCACCAGUGGCGAAGGCGGCUUGCCAGAACGCGCUCGACGGUGAGGGAUGAAAGCUGGGGGAGCAAACCGGAUUAGAUACCCGGGUAGUCCCAGCUGUAAACGAUGCAGACUCGGUGAUGAGUUGGCUUAUUGCUAACUCAGUGCCGCAGGGAAGCCGUUAAGUUUGCCGCCUGGGGAGUACGGUCGCAAGACUGAAACUUAAAGGAAUUGGCGGGGGAG
rnacentral:rRNA from 1 species